rnacentral:rRNA from 1 species
GAGUUUGAUCGUGGCUCAGGAUGAACGCUAGCGGCGCGCCUAAUGCAUGCAAGUCGAGCGAUGAGGCACCUUUGGGUGUACAUCAGCGGCAGACGGGUGAGUAACACGUAGGUGACCUACCCCGAAGACGGGGAUAACAGGUGGAAACAUCUGCUAAUACCCGAUGGACUCUGAGCGGAAGCGAGGAGUAAAGGCUACGGUGCUUCGGGAGGGGCCUGCGGCCUAUCAGCUAGUUGGUAGGGUAACGGCCUACCAAGGCGAAGACGGGUAGGGGGUGUGAGAGCACGGCCCCCCACAAUGGGGACUGAGACACGGCCCAUACUCCUACGGGAGGCAGCAGCAGGGAAUAUUGCGCAAUGGGCGGAAGCCUGACGCAGCGACGCCGCGUGGAUGAAGAAGGCCUUC